CCUACGUGUGGCAGCAGUGAGGAAUAUUGGUCAAUGGACUAGAGUCUGAACCAGCCACGUAGCGUGAAGGAUGACUGCCCUAUGGGUUGUAAACUUCUUUUAUAUGGGAAUAAAAUGUUCCACGUGUGGGAUUUUGUAUGUACCAUAUGAAUACGCAUCGGCUAAGUCCGUGCCAGCAGCCGCGGUAAUACGGAGGAUCCGAGCGUUCUCCGGAUUUAUUGGGUUUAAAGGGAGCGUAGGUGGAUUGUUAAGUUAGUUGUGAAAUUUUGCGGCUCAACCGUAAAAUGGCAGUUGAUACUGGCAGUCUGGAGUACAGUAGAGGUGGGCGGAAUUAGUGGUGUAGCGGUGAAAUGCUUAGAUAUCACGAAGAACUCCGAUUGCGAAGGCAGCUCACUGGACUGCAACUGACACUGAGGCUCGAAAGUGUGGGUAUCAAACAGGAUUAGAUACCCGAGUAGUC
rnacentral:rRNA from 1 species